rnacentral:rRNA from 1 species
AGUGAACGCUGGCGGUAGGCCUAACACAUGCAAGUCGAACGGCAGCACAGUAAGAGCUUGCUCUUACGGGUGGCGAGUGGCGGACGGGUGAGGAAUACAUCGGAAUCUACUUUUUCGUGGGGGAUAACGUAGGGAAACUUACGCUAAUACCGCAUACGACCUACGGGUGAAAGCAGGGGAUCUUCGGACCUUGCGCGAUUGAAUGAGCCGAUGUCGGAUUAGCUAGUUGGCGGGGUAAAGGCCCACCAAGGCGGCGAUCGGUAGCUGGUCUGAGAGGAUGAUCGGCCACACUGGAACUGAGACACGGUCCAGAGUCCUACGGGAGGCAGCAGUGGGGAAUAUUGGACAAUGGGCGCAAGCCUGAUCCAGCCAUACCGCGUGGGUGAAGAAGGCCUUCGGGUUGUAAAGCCCUUUUGUUGGGAAAGAAAAGCAGCAGGUUAAUACCCCGCUGUUCUGACGGUACCCAAAGAAUAAGCACCGGCUAACUUCGUG